CAGAAAAUAGUAUAUUUAAGUAUAUAAAUUUUGGAAAUUUAUGGGGAAUUCCUUUUCUGA
rnacentral:tRNA from 1 species